rnacentral:rRNA from 1 species
GACGGGUAUCCGGCCUGAGAGGGUGAUCGGACACACUGGAACUGAGACACGGUCCAGACUCCUACGGAGGCAGCAGUAGGGAAUAUUGCUCAAUGGGGGAAACCCUGAAGCAGCAACGCCGCGUGGAGGAUGAAGGUUUUAGGAUUGUAAACUCCUUUUGUGAGAGAAGAUAAUGACGGUAUCUCACGAAUAAGCACCGGCUAACUCCGUGCCAGCAGCCGCGGUAAUACGGAGGGUGCAAGCGUUACUCGGAAUCACUGGGCGUAAAGAGUGCGCAGGCGGGCUUGUAAGUCAGAUGUGAAAUCCUGUAGCUUAACUACAGAACUGCAUUGAAACUAUGAGUCUA